AACGAACGCUGGCGGCAGGCCUAACACAUGCAAGUCGAACGAGAAGCCACCUUCGGGUGGUGGACAGUGGCAGACGGGUGAGUAACGCGUGGGAACGUGCCUUUCGGUUCGGGAUAACCCAGGGAAACUUGGGCUAAUACCGGAUACGCCCUCCGGGGGAAAGAUUCAUUGCCGAAAGAUCGGCCCGCGUCGGAUUAGCUAGUUCGGUGGGGUAAAAGCCUACCAAGGCGACGAUCCGUAGCUGGUCUGAGA
rnacentral:rRNA from 1 species